GGGAAGUAGCUUGCUACUUUGCCGGCGAGCGGCGGACGGGUGAGUAAUGUCUGGGAAACUGCCUGAUGGAGGGGGAUAACUACUGGAAACGGUAGCUAAUACCGCAUGACCUCGCAAGAGCAAAGUGGGGGACCUUCGGGCCUCACGCCAUCGGAUGUGCCCAGAUGGGAUUAGCUAGUAGGUGAGGUAAUGGUUCACCUAGGCGACGAUCCCUAGCUGGUCUGAGAGGAUGACCAGCCACACUGGAACUGAGACACGGUCCAGACUCCUACGGGAGGCAGCAGUGGGGAAUAUUGCACAAUGGGCGCAAGCCUGAUGCAGCCAUGCCGCGUGUGUGAAGAAGGCCUUAGGGUUGUAAAGCACUUUCAGCGAGGAGGAAGGGUUCAGUGUUAAUAGCACUGUGCAUUGACGUUACUCGCAGAAGAAGCACCGGCUAACUCCGUGCCAGCAGCCGCGGUAAUACGGAGGGUGCAAGCGUUAAUCGGAAUUACUGGGCGUAAAGCGCACGCAGGCGGUUUGUCAAGUCAGAUGUGAAAUCCCCGAGCUUAACUUGGGAACUGCAUUUGAAACUGGCAAGCUAGAGUCUUGUAGAGGGGGGUAGAAUUCCAGGUGUAGCGGUGAAAUGCGUAGAGAUCUGGAGGAAUACCGGUGGCGAAGGCGGCCC
rnacentral:rRNA from 1 species